GGGAAAAAUCUACAUGUCAGAUUUUCGUUGGUUGGUUUAGCAUUUACUGAGGGUAUUAACUCCAAAUACCAUAAUAAUACACAGAUUGAUAGUUCGAGUACCACAUUGAAUAUUUUCAAAGUAUAAGUAUCAUGUUGGGCAUUUCAUGAAAGUACAAACCUUAAAUAAUACACAAACUAAUAGUUUAAGUACCACAUUGGACAUUUUCAAAGUACAAGUAUCACAUUAGACAUGUUAUGAAAGUACAUGUACCAAAUAAUACACAAAUUGAUGGUUCAAGUACCACAUUAGACACUUUUAAGGUACAUAUACCACAUUGGAUAUUUUAUGAAAGUAUAGGUACCAAAUGUGACAUUAUCUCUAAAUUUAAUAAUUGAAGGUAUAAUGUCAAAUUUAACCCUCGACAUUUACAUCUUUUGUCAAUUUAACUAUUAUAAUUUUUUUAGCUAAAUUAAACCCUCAAUCUUUUUAAAUGAAUAGAAUUUGACCAUCAAUCUUUUAAAAUAAAUCUAGUUGUUAUUUUUUUAACUGAAAUAUUGUCUAAAACCUUUUUUAAACACGGUGAUUUACAUGGUAAGCCCUAUGUACUUUAUUUUUUUUGAUUUUUUGUGACUUUUUUUAUUUUUAAAAGAAUAUUUUUAUAAAUUUAAAUUAUUUGUUAAAGUGAUAUAUAAGACAAAUAGUACCGUAUCAAUAUGAAAUUCUCAUGGAUUGCUAUGUGGGUCAAAUUGAACAAAAAAAUAAGGACCAAAUUGACAAAUAAUGUUAAUAUUAAGGGCUGAUCUUGAUAUAUGGCCUAAAUUUAAUAUAUAUAAAACACAAAAGAAAGGGGCGUUUUACCCAAAUAUACCCUUUAAAUAAUAUAAUUACUGAAAUGAGCUGUUUUUUGCGUUAUUUAUCGAAUUAGGCUGUUUUCCACGAAAACGCGUCCACGUAAGCGCGAUUUCGUAGUACAUGUCAGCAAAAUGCUCCUCUGGAGGAGCGCUUUGUCCACAUCAGCAAAAAACGCCUCCUUGAGUGCGCGCUUUGCUGACGUGGCCUCCCCCAAGGGAGCGUUUUGCCUGUGUAACGGUCAAAUUUUUGACCAUUGGCUUCCAACGGUCCAAAAAAAAACCUAUAAAACCCCCCAAAUCAUUUUCACACAAAUCUCUCAAAUUUCUAUAAUUCUCUCAAAAUUCCUUUCCCUUUAAUUAUUUUUCACACAAUUCUCUCAUAAUUCUCAACAUUCUUUCAAUAUUCCCUUCAAAAAUCUAUCAAAUUUCAUUGAAAUUUUCUCAGAAUUCUAUCAAAUUUCUAUCAAAAUUCUUUGUUUAAUUUUUUUUUAAUUUAAUUUUUGAAAUUAAAAAAAUCCGAUCGUGUUAGCAAUGGCCGGAGAAUUAAUCCGUCUCGAUAAUAAGCACAUCUCCGUUGAUCAAAUGACAAUGGUAAGCGAUAAUUUUAAAUUUUCAAUACUAUUCGAUGUUAUUUUAAUUUAUUCAAAUUUAAUUAAAUUUGCAAUGCUAUUUGAUAUUUUAUUACUACUUGAUUCUUUUUUCAUUUUUGAUGUUUGCAUUAAUUAAUUUAUGCAAUUUUAAUUAAUUUUCGUUUUAUAAAUUUUUAUAAUAGUCUAUAGAUCGGGUGUUGCAAUGCUACAUCCGUAAUAUGUUUGGUCAUCCAUCACCGUUGAUCGAGAAUUACUUACGAGAAGCGGGAUUUUGGCACGUGGCCAGAUAGACCGGGGGUGCAAGUUGGACCCGAAACUAAUCAGUACAUUGAUAGAGAGGUGGAGACCCGAGACGCAUACUUUUCAUCUUCCAUGCGGAGAGUGUACUAUCACUCUAGAAGACGUGCAUUUGCAAUUGGGAUUGACGGUGGAUGAGUACGCAGUCACCGAGUCUGCAUCAUCUACUGAUUGGGGAGCCAUAUGCUAUGAGCUUUUGGGUGCUAUACCAGAUAAAAUUAACGGAGGUCGGAUCGAGAUGGGAUGGUUACGAGACACAUUCCCGGAGCCGGAUAAUAAUUUGACUGAACUCGAAAGAAUAAGAUAUGCUCGGGCAUAUAUUCUUGAGAUGAUUGGAGGUUAUUUGAUGUUGGACUUGUCAAGAAACCUCGUACAUUUGAGAUGGCUGCUGAAACUCGUAGAUUUUAGAGCAACCGGCGAAUUGAGUUGGGGGUCUGCCAUGCUGGCAACAUUGUACAAGGAAAUGUGCAGGGCGACGCGAUCGAACAAAGCCAAAAUAGGAGGUUACCUAUCACUACUGCAAUCAUGGGCACAGUUUCACUUUCUAUUUUUACGUCAUCGAGUCGACCACCCAUAUACAUUUCCACUCAUAACGAGGUAAGUUUUAUAUUAGAUUUUACAAUUAUUACGUAAAUUUAGAAUAUAAUUUUAUGCUAAAAAAUCAUUUAAUUAGGUGGAACCAUUCGGCGAGUUAUGUCGGAAUACCUACCUCUUUCGAAGAUAUAUGACUUCUAUUAGACCAACGAUCGAAAGCAGAAGUAAGUAUUAUUAAAUAAAAUAUAUAUACAUAAUAAAAUAGUCAUUUCGUAUUUCGUAUUAUGUAUAUAAGUAUAUUUUUAUCAUGUUCAUAUAGUUUCAAUGGACACCAUACGAGGAUCCAACAAUUCGAACAGUAAUUCCGGACGAAUUCUUUCAAAAUCCAAACGUUUGGCAUGUGAAGGUCUCAUUGGUGAACUAUGCCACCGUGGAGAUGCACCAGUCAGAUAAAGUAUUGUGGCAAUUUGGAUUCCGACAACCGAUUCCCGUAGCACCCGAGGUGUUUGAUGACGAGCACAGAGUCGACUUACGGUAACUCCAUCGGUAUGAUUAUAUAGCGAAAUACAUGCCAUGGUUUAGGAUUCAUGGCAAGCCAUAUUUAUUGUAGGAAGAGGUGAGGCGAUGACAAAUUCGUGCCCAAAGGGAAUGACGGGGCUUUUUAAAUCUAAGAAGAAUGGACGACGACGCAGGCCCAUCAACAGCACCCACACAAUCAUCAAGCCCAACAGUUCAGAGGACAACACCCACAUCAUAGCCUUUUCAGAUUAUGCCAGGUGUGUAUCCUAGCCCUUAUAUGUAUCCUAACCCUUAUAUGUUUCCUUUUCCUAGUCCUAUGGCAGGUUAGAAUCCAUGGCCCGGAUCAUCUCCGUUCUCGAUUACUCCGAGUCAACCUUCAAUCUAUAGGCCGCCGUCGCAUGAGGGAUCACACAAGGCACCAUCGGGGAGCUCUUCUUUCUACCAAUCUCCAUCACCUUACGGGAUUCAAACACCUCCGCCAUGGGUGACGCAAAUACAGCCACAAUCAUUAUUCUAUCAAGGUGGUUCAUCUUCCCAACAGCCACAACCAAAUCCCCUGCCGGAGGAAUCACAACCCUCGCCGGAAGCUGAUCGAAGGAGGAAUUCACCACGGACCCGUCGACGACCUCAAUGUGGCACUGAUUCUGACCGCCACGAACAUUGAUUUUUUUAAUAUAUUUGACAAACUUUUUUAUAUUGUUUCAUUUAAUAAAAAUAAAAGUUCUUUUGAAUAAGACAAUUUUAAUACAACAUAGUUUCAUUUAAUAAAAUAUAAAUAAUACAACAUAGUUUUUUACGACAACUAUCAAUUAUUUCGAUUUGGACAUGAUCUACUUGUAUGGCCUGGGUUCCUACAUCAUCCGUACAACUUCUGAUUAUUGGUUGUUUCUCGGAUAUCCAUAUUGGCACGUAUUCUAGUCAAGCAAGGUCGACCCUUCGGUUUGCGACUCAAUUCUCUAUCCGGUAGCAGCUUAAAAGGAGCAAGCGAUACAGGCGACCAGUUACGUUCAUCUGGGACAGGUGGGAAUACGUGUCUCCACACAUUGUACAUGGUUUCUAGUUUGCACACUUUGUCACGUAGCUCAUGGGAUCUAGACGGAGAUUCUGACAAGUUGCAAUUACAUGAGCGCAUGGAUAAUGAAGUGCUUCAAACCUUCCACAGUCACAAGUCAUAUUUCUCAAGUGUACAUGAUAUUGCCCGCCAAUAAUACCUUCGUGUGGUCUGUCAAACUCCGUCACACGAAACCAUAAGUUUUUUCAGUCAUGACAGACUGUGUGCAUGGUGUUCGCUCACGCCUUCGCUUUGUUAAUUUCUUGCAAUAUCUUUGAGCACCAUACACGGCCUUCUUGUAUUUGGCCUUUAUAACUCUCUGCUCGCUUUAGAAAUAGUAUCGCUAAACGAAAAUAUGUCUCUCGAAAACCGAUGUUAUCGACAAAUGACGUGUUCCUUUUAGAACAAAAUUUAUGCAUUCAGUCAGGUUUAAGGUUAUAUGACCAUAUCGUAGGCCGCCGUCGUAUGCUUGUGUCCACUGUUUGAAAGGUAUGUUACAGAGGUAGUCCGCGCCUUCUUCGUUAACUGAACACAAAACCGCCAACAUCUCAUGAAAACGGUUCUUACUUAUCUCAUGCCCUACCAAUAUAAGUUGAUAGCGAAAAUUACAUACCACUUUUCCAUUUAAAAUAAAUUCAAUAUUACAAAAGAAAUUACAUUAAUAGAUAUUAAAUACCCAUGUUGAUCACUUGUCGUUUUUCACUUAUAAAUCGAAAUUGCCCGUAGUAGUUGGACGCAACAUGCCUUAGGCAAUACCGAUGGUGUGUGCGAUGCCAUAGGCUUCCCUGUCGCUCAAUUGCGGCUAGUAUUCUGGUGCCUCGAUCCGAUAUGAUGUAGAUAUUAGGUUAGGGGCAGACAUGCCUCCUUAACCUAUAAAGAAAGAACUCCCAAUCAUCAGCUGACUCUCCCGGUGUUAUUGCAAACGCAAGUGGAAAGAUUCUCCCACUACCAUCCUGUGUCACAGCUACCAAUAGCCGAUGGGUAUAUCUACCGUACAUAAAGGUACCGUCAAUUUGUACCAAUGGCUUGCAAUAUAAAAAUGCGUCUUGGCAUUGCUUAAAGGUCCAGAACAGACGCUUAAAUACUUGGCAUCCACGGAGCAAUCGGACGUUGUAGUAUGCAGGUUUAGUUUUAAGGUUUGUUACGCAACCUAGGACGUAUCUCUCCAGCACCUGACACCACUGCCACACUUUAUUAUAUGAAGCGUCCCACCCACCAUGAAUAUUUUCCAACGCCUUCUGCUUAGUUAUCCAAGCCUUGCGUUAAGAGGGUGUAUACCUUAACUGGCUACGAAUAUUGGCAAUUAAGACCGGUACUGAAGUUCUGGGAUCGGCCUUCACCGUCGGUAGUAUUAAGGUAGCUAACAUAUCUGAAUUCAUCUUGAGAUGAUCUUCCGAAACACCUGUCAACGAAGUACGUUAAAAAAUGCAACAGUAAGUAAUAAUAGUACCAUUAAAAAAAUCUAAACGGUUAGUGAUACUAUACCGGCAGCACAUGUAUGUGGACCUUUGUACUUUUUUAUCUCCCACAAGUCUGUCUUUUUCCUUAACGAGGCCAUGAUUUUCCAUGAAUAUGUACCGUCUUGCACAGCACACUUGGGCUCAAACUUAUUGGAUGUAUUUAACCACGUUGUAGUUAACCCCAUUCAUGAUGCUAUGUUGUUUUAAUGUACCAAGAAAACUAUCUUUAUUAGAAAACUCCUUUCCAACUUUUAAUUUACCUGAAUCCAAUGAGGAACUUGUACGGUCACGCCUUCUGCGUGGUAGAUCUGGAAACUCUGACGCAUCAUCUUCAAAUAUAUCAAUAUUAUGCAUGUGGGCUGAAGGCGAGUACGCCCUGAAUCGUGGAUCUUCAUCAUCAUCAUCUGAACCCCCUUCAACAUCUUCAGGUAUGGUUGGAACAAGCUCUAGUUUAGAAAAUAAUGCAACUUCUGCACCAUCGGGGCUUGCCUCUCAAGGUGGAUCCGUAUCGGACUCAUUAUCUGACCCAUCAUCAUGUACAACGUAAAAGGUCUCCUCGCCGGUAGACGUCGUAGGGAGUACAUCAUCCCUCCUUAUGGACGUUUCACAACGUCUCCAAUCAGAUGUGGAUUGCCAACCACUAGAAGUUAAUGUCAUUCUCUAGUACGUAUUUCCAGCAUCAAACAUCGACCCACUGAGGUGUAUGUCCCAUCCAUUAACGGAGUGUCAUGCAGGGGUUGAGUAUUUCAUACUGCUACUAAACAUGGGCACUUCCGUGUUUUGCCACCCACUAAUAGAGUGUCGGGCAGGGGUCGUGUCUUCCUAUUGACCAGCAGUAAAUGUUGAAGCUGCAAAUGCAUCAUUUGGCGAUGAAAAUUGUACAUAUAACUCAAGAUAGAGUGAUCCAUUAGCGAGAUAAGUCUGCAUCAUUGCCUCCAAGCUACGAGCGCCUUUGAUAUCGAAUGAGUCAUAUGUCACAGGAUCAACUGAAGCACAAAAUCGAUACUUAAUAGACAAAACUUUCAUUAGCGUCGUUUCGAAGAUUUUGCGCCUAAUUCUUUUAUAAAGUUCUGUCAAAUCUAUGUUCUGGUUAAAAACCAGUCUCGCUGUGUUCUCCGAUAAAAAAACAACACCGUUCUCGGUGUUACAGACCUCACCAUCAUAGUAAAUAACAGCACUAAUACGUUCACUCAUCUUCAAUUUCUUUUCUUCUUAGCCUCUCUAAUUUUUUUGUUGUAAGUUAUGCAACCUGAGAAUAAAAUUUAGCUAAUUUAUAGCCUCGUUUUUCUACGAACUACUGUAGCAAAAGAGCAUCCACAUGAGAGCUUUUUCCAGAAAUUUUACUGACAUUGCAUCCUGCUUGAAGCGUUUUCAGCACUAUUUGUUCAGAAACGUCUACUCAGAAUUAUUUUUCCAUGAACUACUGUAGCAAAAGAGCGUCCACGUGGGAGCUUUUUCCAGAAAUUUUGCUAACAGUGCAUCCUGCUUGAAGCGUUUUCGGCACUAUUUGUUCAGAAACGUCUACUCAGAAUUAUUUUUCCACGAACUACUGUAGCAAAAGAGCGUCCACGUGGGAGCUUUUUCCAGAAAUUUUGCUGACAGUGCAUCCUACUUGAAGCGUUUUCCGACACUAUUUUUCCAGAAACGUCUGCUCAGAAUUAUACUUGCAGAAACCCAAAACCUUAAAACUUAUGACAAAAAAAUUAUAUUGCUUAUAUGUUUUUUCUAAUACCCUAAACACAAAUUAAUUUUAAAAAACUAAACCCUAAUCCUUAAUUUAAUGAAUUAACCCUAAUACACUCUAAUUUAGUAUUUAGUAUUUAAAAUUAAUAGUUAAUUUAAUGAAUUAGCCCUAAAACCUUAAAUCCUAAUUUAAUUAAUUUUUUUCGAAACCCUAAACUUAGCAUGGUGUAGUAUGUAUAUAUGCUGCAAUCAUAUUAUCUUUAAGAAAUUUUUUUCUUGUAUGUAUCAAUUAACCUUAAAUUUAAUAAAUUAACCUUAAACCCUAAAUUAAUCCAUAAUUUAAUCAAUUAACCCUAAUACCCUAAACUCUAAUUUAAUAUUUUGUAUUUAAAAUUAAUAGUUAAUUUAUAACCCAAUUCAAUUAAUUUUUUUCUAAAACCCUAAACCCUUAAAACACUAACCCUAAAUCAAUUAAAUAAAAAAUCCUAACCUUAAAAAAAGGGCAAAACGCUCCCCUAGAGGAGCGCUUUGUCCACGUCAGCAAAGCGCGCCCUCAAGGAGGCAUUUUUUGCUGAUGUGGACAAAACGCUCCCCCAGGGGAGCGUUUUGCUGACACAUACUACAAAAUCGCGCUUACGUGGACGCGUUUUCGUGGGAAACGGCCUAGCCCGAUAAAUAAUGCAAAAAAUGGCCCAUUUCGGUAAUUAUAUUAUUUAAAGGGCAUAUUUGGGUAAAACGCCCUGAAAGAAAGAAACAAUUGGAAUCCUAUAAAUCUCGAUGGAUGAUAAAAUAAUACAACUAUGGGGUCUUUCAUAAAAUAAUACAACUAUGGGGUCCUUUAUAUUUUCUUUACGGGGAGGGGGAACUAAGGGUGAAAUUACUUGCCAACUCCCUCUAUAAUAUAGAUUGAUCAAAUCAGUCCUUCUAUUAUUAAAUGAAUCAAUUUAGUAUUUGUACUAUUAAAAAAAUAAAACAAUGCCAAAUUCUAUUAGAGUUAACAUUUACGGUUUAAGAAAUGACAUAAAAAUUAUUACCUUUUCAUUUACAAAAUCUAUAUAACUUUCGAAAUAUUAACUCUGUUAAAUAGUAAAUGACAUUAUCUUUAAACAAUAAAUGUUAAUUCUAUUGAAAUUGGUCUUAUUUGAUUCUUUUUAAUAGUAUAAUGACUCAAUUGAUUCAUUUAAUAGUAUAAUGAGUAAUUUAAUAAAGGGACCUUUCAGGGAAAUUUACCCAUAACUAAGUGGUCCUUACUCCUUAAGGUGCUGUUUAAACAAUAUGCUGAGCUCACAGUCUCACCGCCACCAGAUUCUUUGGCAAAUGCAGCACCCACCCACCACUUUCCUCAUCUUCCCCCCAAAUCAUUUUAAAAGCAAAAUGGAAAAUUUUUAUAUAUUUUUUCCCAUCUCUGAAAUCCCAGAAUUCAAUCAUUUUUAGCAAAAAAGCCCACUUUUUUUUCCCUUUCCUUUUCAUAUAUAAUCUUUACCUGAGAAACUACAAGGUUCACCAGCCCCCCCACAUUCACAAUGACGGAGACGCCGUUCUCAAAACUCUCCGACGACGUCGUUCUUAACAUCUUCUCCAAGCUCGAACAUCACCCCAAGAGCUGGGCUUGUCUCGCUUGUGUCUGCUCCAAAUUCUCUUCUCUCAUUCACAACACCUGCUUCAAACAAAAAUGCUUCAAAACCAUCCCCGCCGUUUGCGCCGAUCUCCUCUCCUCUUCCUCCGUCCCACCCGGCGGUUGGUCCGCCCUCCAGAAGCUCUCCGUCUGCUGCCCAGGCCUCCAUCACGCUGGCGUACUUCUCGGCCACUUCGAUUUUGGCUUCGCACGUGAGAUUGGCCCCGAGGUGAGAUAUCCCAAGCUAGCUAAUUCCCAAGCCUCCCCGCCGCCCACCGAGCCUUGGUCCAGCAAAGUGGAAGGGAAUCCGAAUCUGGAUCCGGAAAAUAACGCUCUCGGGUCCGAUUGUUCAUGGUCGCUUUUCGAUGAUCUGUAUUACGACACCGUUUCAAACCCGUCCGAGUCUAUAGAUGGUUAUAAAGUAGAAAGAAUUGACAACAGAGACAUAAAAACUGGGCGUGAAUUUCUCGUUUGUAAAAGGAGGAAGCUAUCUAGACCGCUUAGAUCCCAUCUAGCAGACGGCGUUUGGAACUUAAGCCGAGAACAGGGCAACAAGUUGUUAGCGAGCCGGUUCCGAGACGAUUGUUUAUACAUUUGCGAUUGGCCGGGAUGCAUUCACAUGGAGGAGAAGCGGAAUUACAUGCUUUUCAGAGGGGUUUUCAACGACUUCAAGAAAUCCCGAGUGUGGAGGACGAUAAAUGAUGGGAACAGGCGCAAGAUCGAUCUGAGUUGCGCUUUUUGCUCUUGUAAACAAACAUGGGAUUUGCAUUCUGCUUUCUGUUUGAGGCGGGUUUUCGGGUACCACGAUGAUGGGGAGCCAGUUGUUCGAGCUUAUGUUUGUGAGAACGGACAUGUUUCUGGUGCUUGGACUGAUUUGCCUUUGUACACUUGAGAGAAACAGCAUAUCACAUCAACAUUACUAGUAAGUUGUUUCCAGUUAAAAGUAAGUGGAAUUUACAACUUGAUGAUGAUUAGGAAGCAGCAUUUAGUAUUGGGUUUGAUUUAUUGAUAGAAAUUAUGUUCUUUGUUGGCUUUCUCAGAAGAUGAGACUAGUGAUUAUCAUUAUGGUUAUGUCUAUUACAUUGUAUACCAGCAUUGGAUUGUUAGAUUAUCUAGUGAGAUUUUUGGCAUUGGAUUAUUAGUUUAUCAAGUGAAGUUGAAUUUCAAUCUUUGAACUAUUAAUUCUUUGGAUUUAAUCCUUGUUUGUUCUGCUACUAAAAGGGUACUUUCCAGUUUGUCUUCCACUAUGAAAUUUGUGGUUUUAAAAUGAACUUGAAACAAGGGCUUUGUAGUGCUUGUUGAAAUCUUGAAAUCAGAGCAUUGUGUGUUUAGACUACAUUACUGGUUGUUUGCUAUCUAUGUUGCUUGCUUUUUUCGUUCUGCGAAAAAUUCAGGCAGCAUAGGUUACUACAAUCAACUAUAUAGUUAUUUUUGAUGCAUUUUUGGGGGUGUUUCUUGUCAAUCCAGCUGACUACAACUGAGAGUCACUCAACCAUUUGCCUUGGUCAUAGUUCAGUUUUCUGUUUUCAUGUUUAUGCAUGCAUGCAAUCUUUCCCGGUUAUCAUGGUUGAAUUCUGCUAUUAAUUUUUGUACUAUGCUUACUAUGCUUAAGUUAUGAAUUCUGUCCCUCAAGUGUGUAUAACUAUUAUAUUCAUUGGGUUAAGUUUUGCUAACAAACAUAUUAUCAUAUCUGUAAGCUUAUUAUUUUUAUAUAUUAUUAGAAGAAAGUCAAUUAAUAGGUUUCACAAUUAUCUUGUGUCAAGACCAAAAUUCCAAAUUUGAAAGAAUGCGGGCUGAGAAUGGUUAAAUUGGAGCAUGGAUUAAAUUUACAAUUUUCACACAUAAUACAAAACUGAUAGUAGUAUAGUUUAGUCAAAAAAAUUUAAUUGCUAUUAGUUGUUCAUGACUAAAAAUCUUAAAAAUCGCAAAGCAUAAGGAUUACAAUUUGAUCAAUUGUUAAAAAAUAUUGGGAGGGACCAUCUUAUAAAGUUCUGUAGCUAUAACCAAAUUGGGAAGAAAACAAAAGUGAUGAGUCUGAAUGUCAAUGGAGGAAUAUAGCCUUUAUGCAUGGGUGAUAUAAACUGCUUCAACAUAAAGUAAAAUUUUGAUAAAUAAAUAUUCGAUAACUUAAUAAUCUCGGUUAAAUAAUAAAAUUUUUCAGUCUUGACUUGGGCCAAAAGGAUAAAAUAAUAGCCUCGCUAAAUGUAUAAGAUAAUAAUUUUUAGAAAAAUUCUUUUAAGGGCCCAAUGAAAAUAUAAAAUAAUAAUUCAUUAAAUAUAUUAGAAAAUUUUAUAUACAAUACAUGAAAUUAAAGUGCUUUAUAGACAACUCUUAUUUUUUUCAAUUUUAUUCUUUGUUAAAAUAUGCAUCUAUAGUUAACUACUGCUUCUUUACAUGUGAAUCAAAUACAAUUUCAUCUUUAACUUUUAGAAGGACAUAAACUGGUAUAUUCUUCUCGUGUUGUAUUAAAUAAUUCUUCAAUGUAUCGACAGUUAGAAAAGCUUCUUUUGGAGAAACAUUUGGUAAAACACUAUUAUCAUCAGGAUCUUACUUGUCAUCAACUGGCACGUCCAUUACUCAUUGAAUAAUUUCUUCAUUCGUAGGUGACUCCAUCAAAUAUUCAUUUUCACUUUGAUAAUUAAAAAUCUGCUUAACAUUCAUGGCAUUUAUAUAGUGUAAAUAAGAAAUUACUUCUUUUAAUUUAUGAAUGCUUUCAACAUCACCAAUUUCUUGUUCGAGAGGCAUAUCCUCGGAUCAUUUUACAAUGUUGAAACAAUUUGCAAUACUUGUAGGUUUCACAUCAAUAUUCCAAGCAACAUUAAUAAAAUAGAUUGCAUUCAGUACAUUAAUCUUUUCAGGAUUUAUUUCACUUUUCUUGUAAUCUUUCAAGAUGUUAGAAUAAGAGCGAAGCCGAUAAUAAAUAUUAACUGUUCUAAUAAUUCUAGUAUCACAUGGUUGAAUUUUUUAUGUUGAAGUUGGAGGCAAAAAGAAUAAUUCAACAUUUCUCAAGCCUUCAACAAACUUGGGAUGGGCUAGGCAAUUUCAACAAACUUGGGAUGGGCUAGGCAAUUAUCUACUAUAAGCAAUACCUUUCUACCAGUCAUUCUAGCAUCAAACCAAUGAACAAAAUCUUGAAAAAGUAAUCCAGUCAUCCAUUUUUUUUUUGUUACCUUGAUAAUGACAAUUAAGAUUGUCAAUAUUCACAUGUUUAAAGCAUCUAGGAUUAGCAAACUUACCAAUAACCCAAAGAGGCACUUUAUUUGAACCAUCCCCAUUAGAACAAACUGUACAUGCCCAAUUUUACCCGGGCCUAAAUUAAACAAAGGUCCACACUCCAUUCAAGCCUAACUACCCACCUAAACACUAGCCCAAUACCCAAAUGACAUUACAGGCCCAAACGGCCCAGACCCAAACCAACCAUGGCUUAAUUUAAAACAAUUUCAGCAAAAAUUAAAAAACCUAACCCUAGGGCGCCGCAUGCUAGGACCUGUUGCCACCGCCCUUGUCCCAUCGCCGCACGUCCCAUCUGCACCAGUGCCGUGUACCUGCUCCAUCUGCAAAAGGAGAGAAAACACCAGGAAUGAGAAAGGAAAAGUAAAAAGAAAAACGAUGUAAUAUGGCUAUAAAGAGUGGAAAAUAGAGGAGAAACGGGGGGGAACAAAUCUGGAGAAAUAAAAAGAAAGAAACAAAGUUUUAAGGAUUCUCUUUAUUUUCAAUCUUUCUAUAUUCUUUUACCUUUAUUUUUUUAUUAUUGUUUUUUUAUUUUUGAUAAACGAAAAUAAAAGGAGGAAAGAAAUACCUGGGGCGCCCUUGGCCGCGUCGUCGGAGCCCUCUCCGUCGCCGAAAUCGGCUCUAAAGGCGGGGCCAAAAGGUUCUUUCUCUCGAUAUUCAGGCCAAGCAACCUCGGCCUCUGAACAGGAUCUGAAACGGGGCUCAAAGUAGCCCCUAUGCGUAGCGACGGCCACCGUCCAAGGCGAUCACGGCGGUGCAUGGCAAUGGCCUUGUUGGCCGGAUCUGGAAAGGCUGAGAGGGAGAGACCCUUGGCUCUCUGUUUUUUCUUUCUAAAAGUAAAGGAGGGGAC
rnacentral:lncRNA from 1 species